GAGUUUGAUCCUGGCUCAGAACGAACGCUGGCGGCAGGCCUAACACAUGCAAGUCGAGCGCAGUCCUUCGGGACCGAGCGGCGGACGGGUUAGUAACGCGUGGGAACGUACCCAGAUCUAAGGAAUAGCCUCGGGAAACUGAGAGUAAUACCUUAUACGCCCUUCGGGGGAAAGAUUUAUCGGAUUUGGAUCGGCCCGCGUUAGAUUAGAUAGUUGGUGGGGUAAUGGCCUACCAAGUCUACGAUCUAUAGCUGGUUUUAGAGGAUGAUCACUACCCUGGGACUGUAGACACUGCCCGGAUUCCUACGGAR
rnacentral:rRNA from 1 species